rnacentral:rRNA from 1 species
UACGUAGGGUGCAAGCGUUGUCCGAAUUAUUGGGCGUAAAGAGCUCGUAGGCGGUCUGUCGCGUCGGCUGUGAAACUCCCGAGGCUCAACCUCGGGUCUGCAGUCGAUAGCGGGCAAAGCUGGAGUGUUUGCAGGGGAGACUGGAAAUUCCUGGUGUAGCGGUGAAAUGCGCAGAUAGUCAGGAGGACACCGGUGGCGAAGGCGGGUCUCUGGGCAACAACUGACGCUGGAGGAGCGAAAGCCGUGGGGAGCGAACAGG